rnacentral:rRNA from 1 species
GACGAACGCUGGCGGCGUGCUUAACACAUGCAAGUCGAACGGAAAGGCCUGCUUUCCCUUGUGGAUUGCGGGUACUCGAGUGGCUAACGGGUGAGUAACUCGUGGGUGAUCUGCCCCCAACUUCGGUAUAAGCCUGGGAUACUGGGUCUAAUUUCCGAUAGGACUGCAGGGUGGUUCCUGCGGUGGGAAACGAUUUUCUAGUGGUUGGGGUUGGGUUGGCGGCCUGUCAGCUUGCUGGUAGGGUAAUGGUCUACCACGGCGGCGACGGGUAGCCGGACUGAGAGGGUGGACGGCGACAGUGGGACUGAGAUACGGCCCAGACGCCUACGGGAGGCAGCAGUGGGGAAUAUUGGGGAAUGGGCGGAAGCCUGCUGCAGCGACGCUGCGUGGGGGAUGACGGCAUUCGGGUUGUAAACUCCUUGCGAGCGCGAGGAGGCAGCCUGGUUGGAAGGGUGGUGACGGUAGUGGUAGAAGAAGCACCGGCUAACUACGUG